GAGAGAGAAUCGGAAGCAGUAUGUCAUCUAUACAAACAUUUAAGUUUUUUAAUAUUUUGAAAAUUAUGGUUUAGGAAUAUACACCGGCAGGUAGCCUUGUGGUUGAGCGUUGGACUAGUAACCGAAAGGUUGCAAGAUCGACUCCCCGAGCUGACAAGGUUGUGAGAACACUGAGACCCUCCCUAAUGCAUCAGCUGCCCCUGCCUCCAUACCUGUGCACCGAUGACACCUCCAUGUUUGAUCCAUGCGAGUUGAAUGCAAGGCCUCUCUCACAGUCGCACAGAAGAUCCAAGCCUGAACGCUGCAACUGCAGAGUCGUAAUGGAGGCCAUGCUUACCCUGAGCCCUCUGAUCACACAGACAACGUCCCACAGGCCCACUCCUCUCCCCCGUCUCAUCUACGGCUAACUGGCGUACAUGGUGAGGCGUCUCCUGAAGGUUCGACCUCUGGGCAGGGGAUUCCAGUACCUGGUUGAACGGGAGGGUUAUGGCCCAGAGGAGAGGUGCUGGGUCUCCGAAUUCCACCGGUGGCACCCCGCUCAGCCAGUUUUUCCCAGCUUUGACCCUUCUGCCUGCCCUGACCCUGAGCCUGCCUG